CGCUGGCGGCGCGUCUUAAACAUGCAAGUCGAACGAUCUGUAGCAAUACAGGGAGUGGCGGACGGGUGAGGAACACGUAGGAAUCUACCUUGAAGAGCGGGACAACUUUGGGAAACCGGGGCUAAUACCGCAUAGUACAGAGAUGUUAAAGGGCUAGCAAUAGUCGCUUCGAGAUGAGCCUGCGGUCUAUCAGCUUGUUGGUGAGGUAAUGGCUCACCAAGGCUACGACGGAUAGCCGGUCUGAGAGGAUGAUCGGCCACACUGGCACUGAGACACGGGCCAGACUCCUACGGGAGGCAGCAGUUAAGAAUCUUUCGCAAUGGGGGAAACCCUGACGCAGCGACGCCGCGUGAAGGAUGAAGGCUUUCGGGUUGUAAACUUCGGUAGACUGGGAAGAAGAAAUACGUUCGUUGAGGGCGUAUAGUGACGGUACCAGUCUGAAGCCCCGGCUAAUUACGUG
rnacentral:rRNA from 1 species